rnacentral:rRNA from 1 species
AUUGAACGCUGGCGGCAUGCCUUACACAUGCAAGUCGAACGGUAACGGGCCUUCGGGUGCCGACGAGUGGCGAACGGGUGAGUAAUACAUCGGAACGUGCCCGAUCGUGGGGGAUAACGAGGCGAAAGCUUUGCUAAUACCGCAUACGAUCUACGGAUGAAAGCAGGGGACCGCAAGGCCUUGCGCGGACGGAGCGGCCGAUGGCAGAUCAGGUAGUUGGUGGGAUAAAAGCUUACCAAGCCGACGAUCUGUAGCUGGUCUGAGAGGAUGAUCAGCCACACUGGGACUGAGACACGGCCCAGACUCCUACGGGAGGCAGCAGUGGGGAAUUUUGGACAAUGGGCGCAAGCCUGAUCCAGCCAUGCCGCGUGCAGGAUGAAGGCCUUCGGGUUGUAAACUGCUUUUGUACGGAACGAAAAGCCUUCUUUUAAUACAGGAGGGUCAUGACGGUACCGUAAGAAUAAGCACCGGCUAACUACGUG